UUCAUAGCUCAGUUGGUAGACCAUGAGACUCUCAAUCUCAGAGUCGUGGGUUUGCACCCCAUGUGGGGCAAAA